UCUUCCGUAGUAUAGUGGUCAGUAUAUGAGCUUGUCAAAACCGCCCCCUUAGGGCCCGACUGUCAUCGCUCGGGACCCGGGUUCAAUUCCCGGCGGGAGAG